rnacentral:rRNA from 1 species
UCCAGACUCCUACGGGAGGCAGCAGUGAGGAAUAUUGGUCAAUGGGCGGAAGCCUGAGCCAGCCAAGUCGCGUGAGGGAAGAAGGCCCUGCGGGUCGCAGACCUCUUUGGACGGGGAGCAAGGCCGCCGACGUGUCGGCGGAAGGAGAGUACCCGUAGAACAAGCAUCGGCUAACUCCGUGCCAGCAGCCGCGGUAAUACGGAGGAUGCGAGCGUUAUCCGGAUUUAUUGGGUUUAAAGGGUGCGUAGGCGGGCUGUUAAGACAGGGGUAAAGGCCGGGGGCCCACCCCGGGCGAGCCGUUGAAACUGGCUGUCUUGAGAUGUCGAGAGGUAUGCGGAAUGCGCAGUGUAGCGGUGAAAUGCUUAGAUAUUGCGCAGAACUCCGAUUGCGAAGGCAGCAUACCGGCGGCGAUCUGACGCUGAGGCACGAAAGCGUGGGUAUCGAACAGGAUUAGAUACCCCAGUA